rnacentral:rRNA from 1 species
UACGUAGGGUGCAAGCGUUAUCCGGAAUUAUUGGGCGUAAAGAGCUCGUAGGCGGUUUGUCGCGUCUGCUGUGAAAACUGGGGCUCAACCCCCAGCCUGCAGUGGGUACGGGCAGACUAGAGUGCGGUAGGGGAGAUUGGAAUUCCUGGUGUAGCGGUGGAAUGCGCAGAUAUCAGGAGGAACACCGAUGGCGAAGGCAGAUCUCUGGCCGUAACUGACGCUGAGGAGCGAAAGCAUGGGAGCGAACAGG